rnacentral:lncRNA from 1 species
AAGAUAUUCUCUCUCGAAGAAACUCCGCAGGAAAACCAGAGAUGAAGAUGCCGCCCGAAAAGUGCAGGCAGAGGAACAGGCCGAGGAGAAAGAUUCCACCGAGGAUCUGAAGGUGGAACUUUCGAAGAAGAAAAAAACUCCAUGGAAAGUGAAGGAGGCCUGGAGAGAGCAGGAGAGUGUGACGGAGUCCAGUGUGGUGUCCGCAGAAGUGGCCCUAGCUCUUUGUGAGCAAACAGGAGUAGGACCUCCCAGGAAAGGACGUUUCAAGUUUCUUGCAGCAGAGCUUCCUAGCGAGAAGUCCACAGAGAAAGUCGUGGCCGUUGUCAAUAGGGACUCAGCGCUUUGGGCAAGCGGCCGGCGGACUGCCUGAAGAAAAAGGUUGCAAGGAGGAGUCCCUGGAAGACAGCAACAAAGGCUCAGCUGAGGAUGUUCCCCAGCAUUUGAAGGUUACCUGCGCAGACCAGGAGAAUGGCAAAUGAAAACCGCAGUUUAAACUCUAAGUUUCAACCAGAAUCUAACAGCUCCUGGAUUUCCCGUGGCUCACACUCUUCAGAAACAACUCACAAAGAGCCUGAGGAAGCAGCUCUCCCUUAUCAGUGGGCCAGUUUAUUUGUCCAUCCCUGGGACUAGUAAGUACUGAAACGGUUUUUUUGUUCUUAAAUUCUAAGUUUGACUUUACCUUUAAAAAAGUAUUUCUUUGGUAUGAUUUAGUAUGUAUUAACCCUUCCACUCCCUCAAGUCUAAAACUUUUCAAAAGAAUUUUUGGCCGGGCACGGUGGUUCAAGCCUGUAAUCCCAGCACUUUGGGAGGCCGAGACGGGCGGAUCACAAGGUCAGGAGAUCGAGACCAUCCUGGCUAACACGGUGAAACCCCGUCUCUACUAAAAAAAAUAAAAAAACUAGCCGGGCGAGGUGGUGGGCGCCUGUAGUCCCAGCUACUCGGGAGGCUGAGGCAGGAGAAUGGCGUGAACCCGGGAGGUGGAGCUUGCAGUGAGCUGAGAUCUGGCCACUGCACUCCAGCC